AUUUGUCGGAAUAAUAGUCUUUGAAGGAUUUGUGAUAAUAAUUAAAAGAAAAGGAGUUGAAUUUAAAUGGUUUUCGUCCUGCAUUUUAACCUAUUCGUUGGUCAAUGUACCGUCCAUAUGGCAGCUAGAGCUGUUCCGUAAUACUAAUCCAAGUACAACUAAUACAACAUCUAUAGGCACAUCAAAUUCUGUCAUACCUAUAUAUCUUAACGAUGAAACUUGGAUUUUUGGUUUGGAACACACAUUUCUACUUUGUAUUAUAUUCGGAAGAUGGUUACUACCAAAGGGUUUCUUAUCACGCGAC